AUAUCAUCAAAUUAAUUAGUCACAAAUUAUUUUGAGGUUACAAAUCAGAAAUUUUAUAGGUCACGGAUUAUUUCGAAGUCACAAAUUAUAAAUUUUAUAGGUCACAGUUUAUUUCGAAGUCACAAAUCAAAAAAUUACAAGUCACUGAUUAUCAAAAUUUUAUGUUACAAUUAAUCAGUUGGUCACAUAUAACUAAAUGGGUAGUCACAUACACCAAAUAGUGGUCACAUACCAUUGUCACCAACGCUAUCGCACCACUACUACCAUCACAGCCACCCUCACCUCGUUAUCGUUGUCGCUACCACAACAGUACCAUUCCCAACCACGACCACCAUUUCCAAACAAAGUUCACCAUGGCAGCCACCACCACCACCAUUUCCAAACCACCAAAAAAAUCGUCCCAAAGCUACCGCUUGUUGUUGUCUUCCGCUGGCUAGAUCGAGUCACCGUGACACCGCUGGCUACAAUAACAUUCUCAAAAUUACCACUGGACAUAGCACCCACCACCACCGCAGCCAUCAAUAACACUAUCUUAAAAAUCACAUUCUCAAAAUCACCACACCAUCGUCUAGUCACCUAACAGAAUCGAUAAAAGUCUAAUCCACCUUCAGCUAGAGAAAAGUUAGAUUCCCCAACCUUAAUUACAACAGAUCUGUCCCUAUCCACCUCUUUGCAGCCUGAGAAAUGCAAAGCCCAUUUAGCGCCUGCUUUAGAGACAUUGACUGAGAACAUCCAAUUCCCUGUGAAUGAGAUCCAUCAACCCUUAUUGGCUUCUUCGAGGGACUUUUUUGCUAGACCAAGAGAUCCGGAUUCACUGUUUGUGGCAGUUGCUGCACUUGCGCUCACGAUGACGAAGGUGUUGACCACCACAAAAAAGAGAACAAGGCAAAAAAGAGAACAAGGACCGAAGAGAGAUGGAGAAGAAGGCCAUUUGAGAGAGAGAGAGGGAGGGGGGGGGGGGGGGGGGGGGGCGAGAAGUGAG
rnacentral:lncRNA from 1 species